rnacentral:rRNA from 1 species
GACGAACGCUGGCGGCGUGCUUAACACAUGCAAGUCGAACGGAAAGGCCCUGCUUUUGUGGGGUGCUCGAGUGGCGAACGGGUGAGUAACACGUGAGUAACCUGCCCUUGACUUUGGGAUAACUUCAGGAAACUGGGGCUAAUACCGGAUAGGAGCUCCUGCUGCAUGGUGGGGGGUGGAAAGUUUCGGCGGUUGGGGAUGGACUCGCGGCUUAUCAGCUUGUUGGUGGGGUAGUGGCUUGCCAAGGCUUUGACGGGUAGCCGGCCUGAGAGGGUGACCGGCCACAUUGGGACUGAGAUACGGCCCAGACUCCUACGGGAGGCAGCAGUGGGGAAUAUUGCACAAUGGGCGGAAGCCUGAUGCAGCAACGCCGCGUGCGGGAUGACGGCCUUCGGGUUGUAAACCGCUUUCGCCUGUGACGAAGCGUGAGUGACGGUAAUGGGUAAAGAAGCACCGGCUAACUACGUG